GCGGAGGAAAAGAAACCAACAGGGAUUGCCCUAGUAACGGCGAGUGAAGCGGCAACAGCUCAAAUUUGAAAUCUGGCGCAAGCCCGAGUUGUAAUUUGUAGAGGAUGCUUCUAGGUAGCGACCGGUCUAAGUUCCUUGGAACAGGACGUCAUAGAGGGUGAGAAUCCCGUAUGUGACCGGCCCGCACCUUCUACGUAGCUCCUUCGACGAGUCGAGUUGUUUGGGAAUGCAGCUCUAAAUGGGAGGUAAAUUUCUUCUAAAGCUAAAUACCGGCCAGAGACCGAUAGCGCACAAGUAGAGUGAUCGAAAGAUGAAAAGCACUUUGGAAAGAGAGUUAAAAAGCACGUGAAAUUGUUGAAAGGGAAGCGCUUACAACCAGACUUCUGGGCGGUGUUCCGCCGGUCUUUUGACCGGUCUACUCGCCGUCCCGAGGCCAACAUCAUCUGGGACCGCUGGAUAAGACCUCAGGAAUGUAGCUCCCCUCGGGGAGUGUUAUAGCCUGUGGUGAUGCAGCGCGUCUCGGGUGAGGUCCGCGCUUCGGCAAGGAUGUUGGCGUAAUGGUUGUCAGCGGCCCGUCUUGAAACACGGACCAAGGAGUCUAACAUCUAUGCGAGUGUUCGGGUGUCAAACCCCUACGCGUAAUGAAAGUGAACGGAGGUGGGAAGGGCAACCUGCACCAUCGACCGAUCCUGAUGUCCUCGGAUGGAUUUGAGUAAGAGCAUAGCUGUUGGGACCCGAAAGAUGGUGAACUAUGCCUGAAUAGGGUGAAGCCAGAGGAAACUCUGGUGGAGGCUCGCAGCGGUUCUGACGUGCAAAUCGAUCGUCAAAUUUGGGUAUAGGGGCGAAA
rnacentral:rRNA from 1 species